UGGGGAAUUUUGGACAAUGGGGGAAACCCUGAUCCAGCCAUCCCGCGUGUGCGAUGAAGGCCUUCGGGUUGUAAAGCACUUUUGGCAGGAAAGAAACGUCGCGGGUUAAUACCCCGCGAAACUGACGGUACCUGCAGAAUAAGCACCGGCUAACUACGUGCCAGCAGCCGCGGUAAUACGUAGGGUGCAAGCGUUAAUCGGAAUUACUGGGCGUAAAGCGUGCGCAGGCGGUUCGGAAAGAAAGAUGUGAAAUCCCAGAGCUUAACUUUGGAACUGCAUUUUUAACUACCGGGCUAGAGUGUGUCAGAGGGAGGUGGAAUUCCGCGUGUAGCAGUGAAAUGCGUAGAUAUGCGGAGGAACACCGAUGGCGAAGGCAGCCUCCUGGGAUAACACUGACGCUCAUGCACGGAAGCGUGGGGAGCAAACAGGAUUAGAUACCCUGGUAGUCCACGCCCUAAACGAUGUCAACUAGCUGUUGGGGCCUUCGGGCCUUGGUAGCGCAGCUAACGCGUGAAGUUGACCGCCUGGGGAGUACGGUCGCAAGAUUAAAACUCAAAUGAAUUGACGGGG
rnacentral:rRNA from 1 species